CACACCGCCCGUCACACCAUGGGAGUUGGUUUCACCCGAAGGCGCUACGCUAGCCCGCAAGGGAGGCAGGCGACCACGGUGGGAUCAGCGACUGGGGUG
rnacentral:rRNA from 1 species